AUGCACGCUGGCGGCGUGCCUCAUACAUGCAAGUCGAGCGAACAGACGAGGAGCUUGCUCCUCUGACGUUAGCGGCGGACGGGUGAGUAACACGUGGAUAACCUACCUAUAAGACUGGGAUAACUUCGGGAAACCGGAGCUAAUACCGGAUAAUAUAUUGAACCGCAUGGUUCAAUAGUGAAAGACGGUUUUGCUGUCACUUAUAGAUGGAUCCGCGCCGCAUUAGCUAGUUGGUAAGGUAACGGCUUACCAAGGCGACGAUGCGUAGCCGACCUGAGAGGGUGAUCGGCCACACUGGAACUGAGACACGGUCCAGACUCCUACGGGAGGCAGCAGUAGGGAAUCUUCCGCAAUGGGCGAAAGCUUGACGGAGCAACGCCGCGUGAGUGAUGAAGGUCUUCGGAUCGUAAAACUCUGUUAUUAGGGAAGAACAAAUGUGUAAGUAACUAUGCACGUCUUGACGGUACCUAAUCAGAAAGCCACGGCUAACUACGUG
rnacentral:rRNA from 1 species